AAAUCAGAUCCCCGGGACGCCCAGCAGUUUCCUAAGAAAAAAAGGGUUUUCUUGAAGGCAUAUCCCCACAUGGGCAGCGCUUGCCGGCGUUCACGUCUGGUGCUGGUCAUUUCCCGUCGCCGCCGCUGCACCAACAGAGGUUAACAGGGGCAGUGAGAAGGGGGAAACCUUGCUGCCCGAUACGAUGUCCACACCGUCUUUUGCGUGUUGGAGGGAUUGAACCAUGGCAAUCAGAGCUGACCUUGCAUCGCCUUCCUCAUACACACUGGUCAGGAGAUCCUUCAGUAUGCUGAUGAACGGAGUUGCACCGAUUCCAAGCCCAAUAAGAAAAAGAAUGUCAUAUUUCUUGUAAUUUUGAGCAGGUGCACCGAAAGGGCCAUCUAUGAAGAUCUUGGGAAACCUAGAUGAACAAAGCCAAGUCACCAAGGUGCAGAAGUGAUGGAGAAGGGAUGCCUGCAAAAAUUGAAGAAAUUCUGAAGCCAAAGCCUUUGAAAAUUCAUGAGCUGGAAAAUGAAGAUGAUGAGAAAGUACCAUUCAAAAGGCGACACAUCUGGGCAUUUUACAAAGAGGUACAUCCCACUUUUGUAUUUGAAACUUGCUGGCUUCUUCAUGUAAAGAGAGAGCACAUUUCCUGGGUAUAUUGCUGCCUGCAGGACACAUUUUGGAUCAUUAAUGAGCAGUUCUCCUGUGGCACUUGCAAUCUAGAA